GCAAAUUGGUCCAACUGAAUGAUGCAUUGCUUGCAAUCCGCAGUAAAUCUGAAUUAGAUUUUAGUUUUCCUCUUGUCAGUUUAUCAUGUGAGCCAAUCUUUUUUCCUUUUUUUUACAUUUCCUUGUUUCUCCUUCAAAUCUUCACACUCGAUGGAACAAAAACACCCUCACCUACUGUCCAUACUUUAACUUUUGUACAUUUUUUUUUUUCUGGUCUUAAAUUGAAAAUCGGAGCAUCUGAAUGACAACAUUUCACUGUAUACAGGAGCACUUUUGUUAAAGUUGUGACAUAUUUUCACUUUUCUUUUAUCUGCAAUGAUGUACAAUAAAUGUGAUGUAUUUCUUGUGUGGCCACAAGUGAAAAUGCAAUUCAACUGAGAUGGAUUCUUUUUUCUCUUUCCAUUGAUAUUAUAGAGCUCUGCACCCUUAUGUACCUUUACACUUUUUGUAUUUCAUUUGUCUGUUGGUGUUACACGGUGAGCUGGAUGCAAGAUAGAUACUGUACUAAAUUGUACUGUUAUUGAUUGAAAAAAAAAGUAAUAAAACGCUGUUUGAGA